CGCAGGCGGUCUGUCAAGUCGGAUGUGAAAUCCCCGGGCUCAACCUGGGAACUGCAUUCGAAACUGGCAGGCUUGAGUCUUGUAGAGGGGGGUAGAAUUCCAGGUGUAGCGGUGAAAUGCGUAGAGAUCUGGAGGAAUACCGGUGGCGAAGGCGGCCCCCUGGACAAAGACUGACGCUCAGGUGCGAAAGCGUGGGGAGCAAACAGGAUUAGAUACCCUGGUAGUCCACGCCGUAAACGAUGUCUAC
rnacentral:rRNA from 1 species